rnacentral:lncRNA from 1 species
CAGUAUUUUUAAACUCUUUUUUUACAUAUUAUUUUCAAUCAAAUAUUCACAAAAUAAAAUAUUCUGCAUAUAAAUUCAAACCUUUUUUCUAAUUCUAUACAUUUUUUAAAAAAUCACUUCGACAUUCUAUUCUUCAAAUAAUGGUUUUCAAACAUUCUCCCAAAAAUCACACAAUAAAUUACGUAACAGAUCCUAACUUUUAGUUCUUGGGUUUUAAAAAAUUUGGUAAUGAUUAUGAGAAUUAUUUUUUAACCGUUAGAGAGAAAAGUGAGUUCCACCUGUAAAUAAAAAAGUAAAAAAUGACAACUAAAAAGGUGAAAUAACGUUUGAAAAAAUUGAUUUUUUUGGAGUUAAAAAUUGCUACCAAAUGGGGGCUAAUAACAAAAUUUAGCCCCUCGUUUGGCCCUCUUUUUUNAAAAAAAGUUACGAGUU